rnacentral:lncRNA from 1 species
GCUGUUGCUUGCUGUUCGGUAGAUAGGUGCUGGUUAUAGUGCUUGGGCAUCUUUAUUUUGUUUCUAGGAUUUCAAACCAGUAGGUUUUCUUCUAUGUGUUAGUUAGUGAUUGAUGUGGUGUGUGUAGGUGAUGUUUAUGCAUGUGCUUGUGCUAGUGAUAGUGUGUGGGUGUUAGUAAGUGUGUGAUGCACAAGGGUAGUGUGUGUAUGUGUGUGUGUUACU